ACUGGCCUCAGCUGAGACAGGCAGGUUAUUUUGAACUGUAAGUCAACUAUGCUGUUCUCUUGGAAUAACUCCAGGCACAAAACUUCUGAUAUAUUCCUGGACAAAUAUGAGCAAAAGAGUAGCAGAAACAGGGAGAAGCAAGUACCAUUUAGCAAUUGCAAAAAAACCCCACAGAAUGAAAUCAGCAGGUUGACGUGAUCCAGCCUAGGCAGAAGGCAAAAAAAGGAAUAAAGAAUGGAAAAUGAAAAAAAGAAGGAAAAAAUCAACCAUCUGAAAAAAUUAGGGUUUUUUUAUUUUAAAUAUUCACAAUCUUAUGAAAACUAAAAGCAUAUUUGACAGAUUAUGUUUCCAAAUUAUUUUUAGAGUAAUAAAUUAUGUAAAAAAUAUUAGCACUACAACUAUUGCUAAAUGAAGAAACUGGCAAAGCAAGCAGGAAAUAACAGACUCCCACUUGCAUUUAAACAAGGUAAGCUGCUGAGUGAAAGAGUAACAGCCAAGCAGUCUCCAAAAACUUCUAACCACAAGCCACCCUCAAAAUUCUGGGAACAAGAUGUUACAAGAGUGAAUGGAAUGUAUAGUUUCCUCAGGUUUUUUAUGACUGUUCCUACCCCACCUUCAAUGUACACAAUGAGCAAAACAUGAUUUACUACUAUGCACUUAUUAUGUAAUUCUUGUUUCUUCAUAACAGUGGGACCCAAGUCAGGGCUAUGCCACUCAUAAAAAAUAUGACCUUGACUGAAAUGAUUCUGAAGAUUCAGAGCAUGACACUUACUCCUCAUUGUAGAUAGGGAAUAAGAUAGGUUUUAUUGUUUUACUAUUUCAACCUGGAAAUUUUUUUAUCAAUAGAUCCACUCACUGGUAUGUAUUUCAACGGCACAAUGUAUUUGUAUAUUUCAGUGUCUUUCAAAGGGGCACAGUUUGCUAAGGGCAUGUUUAUAAUAUUAAUUUUCUUUAAAAGAAAAAGUGGCACAAGAAAUGGCAGUAGAUGUAAAGCUACUUCAAGGGAUCAAUUUCAGAAUGCCAAAUAAACUGGGAAAUCCCAGAUGGCUAAAUUUAACCUGCAUAUUGCAGUACCACAGGUGGUUCAUCUGCUGAUUAAAUUUUUGUUAAUUAGUGUUGUCUCUUCUUUCUUUGAAGUUACAACCACUUAAUUGUGCAGCAGGGUUCAGUCUCUUGUAGAUCAGAGGACUGCUCAUCCUGCUGCUUGGUUUCCCUAGAAGAGAUGGCCCAGUUCCUUUCCUCCUAAGAUCAGUUGUGACAUGCCACUAACUCUCUUGUUUAGGUUUGGUUUUUUGUUGGGGAGGAUGUUUGGACGUUUUCUCCAUUAUGGGCACUGACAUUUCCACAGCCUUUAUGCACAGUACAAUUGUUUAAAUUUACUUAUGUUCCCUUUACCCAAAUGACUCCUCUGUUAUUAUUUACACCCUCUGAUUAGCAUUGUACACUGCCUAGGACUGUAAAAUAUGCACUCUCACUUUUUCUUAUCGCCUUAGAACAUUACCCCGAAUGUGCACUGAGUUUUACCUUCCACUGUAAUUUACUAUUUUUGUCACAACUUCAUCAUCAAACAGGACUGUUUUGCUCUACUGUAAUUUUCUAUUUUUGUCACAACUUCUUCAUCAAACAGGUCUGUUUUGCUCUACUGGGAUUUGGAUGGAGAUAUGCGUAACAGACUUCCAACAUUUUUUUCCAAGGAGGCUUCCUAGAAGGUCUACAUUUUCCUCAUCUAAAUUACUUUAGCAUACAGUUAUAGAGGUUUAUGUCUGAAAGGCUGUCUGUGACAUUGAAAAGCUUCUGGAAGCGUUUCUCUGAACUUGAGUUCAUUUAAACUGAAUGGGAUUUCUAAUCUCCAAAAUGAUGUUACCUUGACAUGAUUUCUCAUGUGCCUACUCUUCUUGUUUCUAUGAGAGGAUGGGCUAUCUUUAUUUCUCUGUGCA